AUUGAAAUCCAACACACACACACACACACACACACACAAAAGCAUAUUUGAGAAUUUAAAAGGAAACAGUUUUUGGGCCAAACUAAAAUUAACAACAUUCCCCACGGACACAGUUUUGAGUCACUUGAAAACCCGCUUGGAUCAGGAAUCACAGAAAACAGCUAAAAACUCAGUUUGGGAUAACGAAUUUUGCAUUAAAAAUCAACUAAAAACCAAAAAGAAAAUUUGAAAAACAUUUGGGAUAUUUUUUUUGGGAAAACUUAAGAACACAACAAUUGUGGAAAACAGCUGUACCAGAAAGAGUAAAAACUGUUAGUUGUUGAAAGCCCAUGCGCAAGAAAUUACAUUUCAGUCAGUUAUUUCGAAUAAUCAUGUGAAAAUGACAUGUUUUUUGGGUACUCAUUGAAGUCAAUAAGAAAGAAGCAAAGGCUAAAGAGCAAAGUUUUAAUAUAAUUUGAAUCAAAACAAGAAGAACAAAACUAAAUAAGACAAAACUAAAUAAGAAGAAAGGAACUUCAAAUGAUAAUAAAAUGCGAGCUUUCAAAAGAAACAAAUGAAGCAGUAAAAUAAACAAAAACAUAA